GGUAAGAUGGCCGAGUUGGUCUAAGGCGCCAGGUUAGUUUUCUGGUCUCGAAAGAGGCGUGGGUUCGAAACCCGCUCUUACCA
rnacentral:tRNA from 1 species